GAGGGUAUAGCUCGGUGCUAGAGCGUGUGCUUAGCAUGCAUGAGGUCCUGGGUUCGAUCCCCAGCUGCUCCA
rnacentral:tRNA from 1 species